UAGGCUAUCGAGCUGAUGUGAGACUAUCGAUGAUUGGGAUAGGCUAUCGAGUUUGAUAUUGGUGAUAGGCUUCGAAGCUGAUAUUGGUGAUAAGCUAUCGCGCUGAUAUUGGUGAAGGCUAUCGAGCUGAUCUUGGUGAUGGCUCGAGCUGAUAUUGGUGAUAGGCUAUCGAGCUGAUAUUGGUGAUAGGCUACGAGUUGAUAUUGGUGAUAGGCUAUCGAUUGGUGAGGCAUCGAGUUGAUAUUGGUGAUAAGCUAUCGAGUUGAUGUUGGUGAUAGGCUAUCGAGUGUGAUGUUAGGUGAUAGGCUAUCGAGUUUUGAGUGUUGGUGAUAGGCUAUCGAGUUGAUGUUGGUGAAGGCUAUCGAGUUGAUGUGGGUGAUAGGCUAUCAGUUGAGUUGGUGAUGGCUAUCGAGUGUGAUGUUGGUAGAGGCUAUCGAGUUGAUGUUGGUGAUAGGCUACGAGUUGAUGUUGGUGAUAGGCUAUCGAGUUGAUGGUUGGUGAUAGGCUAUCGAGUUGAUGUUGGUGAUAGGCUAUCGAGUUGAUGUUGGUGAUAGGCUAUCGAGUUGAUGUUGGUGAUUGGCUAUCGAGUUGAUGUUGGUGAUAGGCUAUCGAGUUGGUGACAGGCUAUCGAGUUGAUGUUGGUGAUAGGCUAUCGAGGUAUCGAGUCGAGUUGAUAGCGAUAGGGAGUCGAGUGAUUGGGUAUUGAGUUGAUAGGCUAUGCGAGUUGAGUUUAUAGGCUAUCGAGUUGAGUUGUAGAGUUUUUGAUGACUGCCUGUUCCUUUGUAGGCUUUCCUCAGUACACAGAAUGCUUCCUCCAUCUGUAGGCUUUCCUCUGUACACAGAAUGCUCUAUCCAUCUGUAGGCUUUCCUCAGUACACAGAAUGCUCUAUCCACCUGUAGGCUUUCCUCAGUACACAGAAUGCUCUAUCCAUCUUAGGCUUUCAUCAGGUACACAAAUCGCUACCAUCUGUAGGCUUCCUCAGUACACAGAAUGCUCUAUACCUGUAGGCUUUCCUCAGUACACAGAUACUCUAUCCUCGGUAGGUUUUUCCUCAGUACACAGAAUGGGUCUUUUAGAAUAUUUAAUGGACUUAGAGGGGUGAUGUGACAUUAUUUUAAUAUAUUUUUAGGAAGUUGUCUGAUUUCAGGAGAGUAUUUAAACUUCAUAUUACAGAGGUAAAACUAGUUGCCUCUGAGGAAAACAUAUUCACUACAUUUUUUGAGAUUGUGAUUGGCUGAUAGGUGGUGACUGGUUACAGUUUGUGAAGGAACACUGAUUGUAAAAAAUGUUUAAACAUUCUCUUUCUAUUGGCGAUGAUGUAAUAAAGGCCCCUGAUUGUUGAAAGUCACUUUGGUUACAGUACAUGAUCAGUGUGAUGACAACGGAGAGGUCGGGGGUCAUUGGCUGAUUUGAUUUUGGCAACUGGCUCCAAUAACAAGAAUUUCCUGAAGGAAGCCAUGUUUCUGUUCUGUGUCGGCCGAUGUAUUCAAGAAAAACAAAUUAUACUACUGUGAAGUCUGCGUUGUUUUAUUUAUCAUCGCUAGAAUCAAGUCUCUUGUAAAAUAGUGAAACCACAAGUAACAGAAUACAUUUUAUGAAAUAUAAUUAUGCCACAAAAUAGCAAC
ensembl:lncRNA